rnacentral:lncRNA from 1 species
CUAUAUACUAUAAACAUAAUAAGACUCAAGUAUUUAAGUAUGUAUUUAUUAUGCUUACUUCAAAGCCUUUGGACUCAUUCAACUUUCUUAACUUAACUGUGAGUGGCUGUGAGUGGCUCAUGGUUUUUCAUUAUUCAUUUUCACUCACUUUUCUCCCCUCACACGUAGCAUUACUACUCUCAUUUUUCACAUUUUUGGUAACGUCUUCUCCCACACACAAUGCCAUCACCUUUUUUAUUCUCAUCCACUCACCCUUUUUAUUGUUAUUGUAGUCACUUCAUCUAUUCAUUCAUCAAAUCUCCAUAUUUGAUUCUUCACUCAUCAACCACUUUCUACUAUCUCAAAUUCUCG